ACCGACCGUGCCCAGACACCUUGAUCUGUGCUUAGCAAACUCAGAAGGCCCUGUCACCACCAGGAAGGAAGAGACCCCACGACUGAGGGCAGUGGGCUAUGAGAUUUGUGACCCUUUCCUCUGCCUGCCUCUGCCCCUGCCCAUUGGGACCCUGCUGGACCAGGCAUCCAUCCUAUGGAAAUCUCCAUGAAGCGUCGACCUCCCUGCCCCCCAGGCAUUGGACAGGGGCCAGGAAAUGGAAUGAAAGCAGCCACUGUCUGAAGAGCUGGAGACCAUCAUCUGCCUCUGGAAGCCCAGAGAACCUCGGCUCAGACAGAAGGACAGAGACUGAGGGAAGGGAGAGAGACUGUGACAGAGAAGCAGAGGAGGGUGACAGAGUCAGGGAGGAACAAAACAGCCUGCAGUGGGAGCAGAGACAGAAAUGUGGGGGACCCACAGGGAGGGGAGGGAGGGAAGGGGAGGGACGGAGGGAGGGACAACUGCCGUCCAAGUGGCUGUGAGAGCCUGGGGCUGGGGAGAGGCACCCUCCUCCUGUUGGCUUCUCAUACAGUCUCUAUCAGGGGACCCAGGACACAAGAAGCAAAUUCAUCUUUGGGUCCACCCUUCAGCUCUAGAAGUCUAGGGCCUGGCCAGGUCCUCUGAAGGGGUCUCUGGCCCCAGGCAGCUUCCUGCCCCCCUGCGUGGCCCCCCAAGCCCUUCUCAAGAGCCCUUCAGUAAAUAAAUUCACUGGAAGACAUCA
rnacentral:lncRNA from 10 species